rnacentral:rRNA from 1 species
GACGAACGCUGGCGGCGUGCUUAACACAUGCAAGUCGAACGGAAAGGCCCUGCUUGCAGGGUACUCGAGUGGCGAACGGGUGAGUAACACGUGGGUGAUCUGCCCUGCACUUCGGGAUACGCUUGGGAAACUGGGUCUAAUACCGGAUAGGACCGCACUUUAGUGUGUGUGGUGGAAAGUUUUUUCGGUGUAGGAUGAGCUCGCGGCCUAUCAGCUUGUUGGUGGGGUAAUGGCCUACCAAGGCGGCGACGGGUAGCCGGCCUGAGAGGGUGUACGGCCACAUUGGGACUGAGAUACGGCCCAGACUCCUACGGGAGGCAGCAGUGGGGAAUAUUGCACAAUGGGCGCAAGCCUGAUGCAGCGACGCCGCGUGGGGGAUGAAGGACUUCGGGUUGUAAACUCCUUUCGCUAGGGACGAAGCUUUUUGUGACGGUACCUAGAUAAGAAGCACCGGCUAACUACGUG